GAAAAAAGAGACUUACGAACUGUUUGAAAAUUCUCUUGUAAAUCAAGACAAAGACAUCAACGGGAAUAAUGAACCCGAAUCCAGAACCACGACCGGAGACGCCGAAUGGAACAACCAACAAGCGACCUCGAAUCUUACUCGAACAGGAGAGGUGAUGGAGUUACGUGCUCAUAGUUUCUGCUGGAUUUCCGGCCAGUUAUCGAAGCUAUUGUUGCUGGUUUCCAGCAGGUUUUGGUGUGAGGUAAUGGAGUUAAUAUCGUGGUUUGGUGGAGAUUUUGCAAUGAGCAGAAGCGUUUGGUGUUCUGGUUCAUUGUUUCUCGGCUGGAGCUCGUUAAUCCGACGAGCUACUGGAGCUCAUUUUUCCAGCGAGCUGCUGGAGGAGGAAGACAAAAAGAGCAGCAACUACUCUCGAUAGGUGAUUAGCGGUUGAAGCUUCCGUGCUGGGUUAGGGGUCCUAGGAUUGUUGCUGUAUGCUCAAGGUUGAAGAAGAUGAAGAUCGUGGGGUCUCUAUGGUUUUGGUUCGCUGGUUUUUCCAGAAGAAGAAGAUCGACGAUGGGGUGUGGUUCUGUUCUUUUUUGUUCUUGCGGCUGAAGCUCUAUGUCCUAGGGUUAGCUUCUUGUAUCCAUGAAGAAGAAGAUAGGUUAGGGGAAAGGUCAUUUUUGUGUGUAUGGCAGCUGUCUCUGGAAUUUCGGGGU
rnacentral:lncRNA from 1 species